rnacentral:rRNA from 1 species
CCUACGGGAGGCAGCAGUAGGGAAUUUUCCACAAUGGGCGAAAGCCUGAUGGAGCAAUACCGCGUGCAGGAUGAAGGCCUUCGGGUCGUAAACUGCUUUUAUGUGCGAAGAAUUUGACGGUAACACAUGAAUAAGGAUCGGCUAACUACGUGCCAGCAGCCGCGGUCAUACGUAGGAUCCAAGCGUUAUCCGGAAUUACUGGGCGUAAAGAGUUGCGUAGGUGGCAUUAUAAGUGGAGCGUGAAAGCGUGCGGCUCAACCGCAUUAUUGCGUUCCAAACUGUGAAGCUUGAGUAUGGGAGAGGUAGAUGGAAUUUCUAGUGUAGGAGUGAAAUCCGUAGAUAUUAGAAGGAACACCGAUGGCGUAGGCAGUCUACUGGCCCAUUACUGACACUAAGGCACGAAAGCGUGGGGAGCAAACGGGAUUAGAUACCCCGGUAGUCCACGCUGUAAACUAUGGAUGCUAGCUGUGACACACAUCGACCUGUGUCGUAGCGAAGUUAACGCGUUAAGCAUCCGCCGUCGGGAGGUACGGUCGCGAGAUACAAACACGAAGAAGUAGACGGCGUGAGACGUGCCGACGGACGACGACGAGGGAGGAGG